UACGGAGGGUGCGAGCGUUGUUCGGAAUUAUUGGGCGUAAAGCGCGUGUAGGCGGUUCUUUAAGUCUGAUGUGAAAGCCCCGGGCUCAACCUGGGAAGUGCAUUGGAUACUGGAGGACUUGAGUACGGGAGAGGGUAGUGGAAUUCCUAGUGUAGGAGUGAAAUCCGUAGAUAUUAGGAGGAACACCGGUGGCGAAGGCGGCUACCUGGACCGAUACUGACGCUGAGACGCGAAAGCGUGGGGAG
rnacentral:rRNA from 1 species